CAACAACAAGCAACAGUUGCACUCAUUAGAUCUGAUGAAUAGAACACUAGAAUAAGUGGGUAGAAACUGCACCACUGGAGACAGAGAUAUUGGCAGUUUUUGUGAAUGGGUCUGAGCACAACCAAUCACCAACCAUGCGGCUGUGUAUUUACAUAUCAGGUCCUCUCAGAGGCAGACUGAGGAGGUAGGGAUUCACACAACAUGGUGCACUAAUAUUUGUACUUCAAUCGCAUUGAUUAGUCCUGUUAUGUCAUAGGGAAAAGGCACCGGCUUAUAGUUGCAGAAAAUGUUACACUCCAUCUUCAUUAUGACAGGGAACUUGUUGCAAAUUAUGGAAACACUCCGAGCACCAUAACCACUACAGUAAAUUGUAGUGAUCAUGCUGCUAGAAAUUCACAUUGCUUUAUGUCUUUAAUAUAUAUAAAUCAAGGCGGACACCAGUGGGAGUUGUCAAAUCAUACUAAAAUGGUUUAAGUACUUACCUUGGAAUGGCCUCAGGGCAUUUCUGGCAUCAAUUGGCUGUAUAUUGUAUGUGGAUGUAUAUAUCUUGUGGAAACCCCUUGUUUUUUGUUUUUCUAUAUGCUGGGCAAUAAUCAUACAUUCUCUGCACAUAAAAUAGGCAACUUUUCCAUACAGGAACCCAUACAUUCUGGGGGGAGCCAUGUGUACAUAAGGGCGAGUGUCCACCAUCUGAUUUCUCAACUGUCAUCCCUCCCAGCGCGUGCACAGUGACCUUUACCGACAUGCACAUUCGGGGCAGCUUUAUAAAAUCUAAUAAAUAGGUCCAGCACAGAUAUCUUAUUGACACAGUGUUUCCCUAUUGAUCUAUAUACAUAUUGCAUUAACCAAGCAAAAGCAGCCAAAAAAAACACUUCAGGAGCUCUGAC